GGCUCAGAUUGAACGCUGGCGGCAUGCCUUACACAUGCAAGUCGAACGGCAGCGGACCUUCGGGUGCCGGCGAGUGGCGAACGGGUGAGUAAUAUAUCGGAACGUACCUUUCAGUGGGGGAUAACGUAGCGAAAGUUACGCUAAUACCGCAUAUUCUGUGAGCAGGAAAGCAGGGGAUCGCAAGACCUUGCGCUGAUUGAGCGGCCGAUAUCAGAUUAGCUAGUUGGUGAGGUAAAGGCUCACCAAGGCGACGAUCUGUAGCGGGUCUGAGAGGAUGAUCCGCCACACUGGAACUGAGACACGGUCCAGACUCCUACGGGAGGCAGCAGUGGGGAAUUUUGGACAAUGGGCGCAAGCCUGAUCCAGCCAUGCCGCGUGAGUGAAGAAGGCCUUCGGGUUGUAAAGCUCUUUCAGCCGGGAAGAAAACGCAUGGGUUAAUACCCUGUGUGGAUGACGGUACCGGAAUAAGAAGCACCGGCUAACUACGUG
rnacentral:rRNA from 1 species